rnacentral:rRNA from 1 species
UAGGAUUAGAUACCCUAUUAUUGUGUAGUAAGUGUUGCGUGGGUAGUAUUUGUUAUUUUCAUAAAACCCAAAGGAUUUGGCGGCGUUUUAGUCCCUUCAGAGGAACUUGUCCCGUAAUCGAUGUUCCACGUUAAUAUUACCUUCUCUUGUUUGUUUAGCUUAUAUAUCGUCGUCUGUAAGGAGGUCUUUUAAAAGUUAAAUUUCCUAUUAUCAUUAUUAUGAGAUAUGUCAGAUCAAGGUGUAGCUUAUGGGAAGGGGGAGAUGGGUUACAAUAAAUGGUAUUUAUACGGAUUACCCUUUUAUCAGGGUAUAAAGGUGGAUUUGAUUGUAAGGUUUGUCUGGCAAUUUUGAUUAGGGCUCUAGAAUGUGUACACAUCGCCCGUCGCCCUCAUUUUAGGUGAGAUAAGUCGUAACAUA